GAAUCAAACUUUAAACAUUUACUCACCAAAUGAUUCCAGGCGUGGUAGCGUCGUCCGUGGAUUGCCUCUUUUGGUCGUUAGACGUGUCACGACACGUCCUUGCAGGUAUAAACUUCUCAACGAACACUCACGAAUAACACAGAAUGAACACUACAUCGAAUUAUUCACUGUACGCGAUAAAUUCACUAAGAAAAGUACGGUCGCACGGAGUAGCACGCGGAUAUGACAGGACGAACAUAACCUUACAACCGGUGUCGCGGAAUAUGUCGAAAGUACGGAGACGAACCGAACGAGAAAACCUACCGCGAGAAACACUAUAAACACGAUGGGCGACCGUGAAGCGAAUCUUUCCGAUCAAAAGUUCGAACGAAGGACACAUGAACCAUUCAUCCCAACGGAAAAACGAAACACCACUUUGCUCCACUCUCUAUCGUAGAAACAUCUAACAAGGAUACCGCACCACGAGGCUUUCCGACACAAUAUCCGCAAUCCGCGGAAGGACUGUCGUUCGAACGCGUUCACCCGCGCCCCUCCAUCGACCAUCAACCGGGAGAGGGAAGCCAGGUAUAACGAGAGGAAGGGAGAACUGUCGAGUCUUUCAGUGUUGAGACUGCGCGGGAACGAGAAAGAAGGACACAUGACCGGCGCCAUUCCAUUAGAGGGUAGGAGAAAGUGAGAGGGAUGCUAUACUUCACGAGCGUAGCUAGCAAAGGGCGUACAGGUUCUACAAAAGAAUCUCAGGUAUUACCAACCUGAAUCACAAUCAUCACAGCCAGGCCGAAGGUUAAGGCUAUUUGGAAAUGAGAAGGAACGACACCAAGGCUUCCAACGCAUCCCAUACAUCCAAGGAACACCAACAUGGAA